UUUCAGGUUCUAUUUC
rnacentral:sRNA from 1 species